CUCACUCACGCACAUGGAAGUUCCCAGGCUAGGGGUUGAAUCAGAGCUGUAGCUGCCGGCCUACACCACAACCACACCAACACGGAAUCCUUAACCCACUCAGCAAGGCCAGGGAUCAAACCUGUGACCUCAAGGAUACUAGUCGGGUUCCUUACCACUGAGCCACAAUCAACGGGGGGUAUGUUUAAUACAAGCUUCACGUAUGUCUCUGCUAAUAUUUCUAAAUAUCUAGACUGUUUCAUUUUAAUUUUUGAUGUUGUUGAGAUUAUUCUGACCCAAUCUCUUAACUGCACUUUGCUAUCAAGCAGGCAACUGAUAGUCUGUGUAUAUUUCUACCCUUUUGAUUAUUUUACUAUUUUCCUGCUAUGACCUCCCCUUCAUUUUCUCUUUAAUCACUGUUUUUUAAAAGUAUGUAUCUAGGCACAGAGCACUGAAAGUCAAAUUUUUUUCCACGACGAUGGACAGGAGAUUCCGUCCUCUCUCCCCCAAGCUGGUGGCAGCACACAGAAGUAAGUCUCAUGAAGGAUGUCCCAGUGGGGGUCAGGCUGUUAACUCCACUCCUCUUAUUUUCAUUUGUUUACCACUAGUUCUUGAUUUUUCAGGUUUUGGCAUGACCUAAUGAUUUCAGUUUUGUGGGAGCUGAGCAUCUGGCUCUGCAGCACUCAUGACGUGAAUGACAUACUUUUUCUGCCUCAUCCAAACAAGAUCUCUUAAUUUUGGCAAGACAAUGUGCAGUGGUUACAUACCAACCAGUUAUGCAGCAUCUCGGGCAAGACAGAUGCGAUUCUAAGAUCACAUAUCUUGCAUCACUUUGUUUUCCCUGCAGUUAAUAAUGGUCUAAUACUUUCAUUUAACUUUUUUCACUUUGCAUUAAAUCGUUUUCUGGCCCCCUCACCUUUGUUUUUGGUUUGUUUGUUUGUUUAGGGCCACAUGUGGAACACGGAGGUUCCCAGGUUAGGCGUCUAAUCAGACCUACAGCUGCCCACCAGAUCUGAGCUGUGUCUGCAACCUACACCACAGCUCACGGCAACGCCGGAUCGUUAACCCACUGAGCGAGGCCAGGGAUCGAACCCACAACCUCAUGGUUCCUAGUCAGAUUCAUUUACACUGAGCCACAGUGGGAACCUUUGAAUCACUUUAGACACAUGCAUGUUUUCUUCUUUCUCCCAGGUAAAAUUCUCCUCUAAAUGGGUUGCAUAUCUUCCUGAUCCUCUCUUUGCUCCUUUUUUUUUUUUUUUUUUUUUUUUUUUAAUGGAGGUUAUCUUGAGAAUAAAGGUAAAAACUUGAGAAAAUAGGAAAUUGCCCCUAUUCUAGCAUCGUGCUUAGUUAACUUAUUACUGCGGAAUCGAUGCUGGAAAACCCUUUUCUUCAGUAAGACCUAUUUUUUUGAAAGUAUUACUUCCCUUCUACCUAUUCAAAUUUUGCUUUUGACACAUUGAUGCAUAGUUGUAUUAAUUUUGUUUUUCUGGAAGGCUUUAGAAAUUUCUUUGUUCCCAAUGAACUGAGGUUUGGAACAAGAGGCCUUGUUAUAGACGUAUUUCCAUUAAUUGACUAAGAACUAGGUGACCCUAGCAGUCAGACAAUUCAUGUCCUUCAAUUUGGACAAAUUUCCUAGACUUGCUCUUUAAUAAUGUCUUUACUUCAAUUUUCUCUAUUCUUUUUGUGAAGCUCCAAUAUGAGUUUUGGGUCUAGUGGACACGGAUUUUUUAAAAAUUUAAUCUUUUCUCUUUUUUUUUUUGCUUUUUAGGGCCAAACCCCUGGCAUAUGGAAGUACCCAGACUAGGGGUCAAACUGGAGCUACAGCUGCUGGUCUACACCUCAGCCACAGCAAUGCCAGAUCUGAGCUGUGUCUGUGACCUACACCGCAGCUCACGGCAAUGCUGGAUCCUUAACCCACUGAGCGAGGUCAGGAAUUGAACCUGCAACCUCAUGGUUCCUAGUCGGAUUCAUUUCCACUGUGCCACAUCGGGAACUCCUCAUUCACUUUUUGAUCCUUUAUCUGUAUAAAUAGGAGUAUCUAUUAGCAAAUAUUAAUCAAGAUAAAAGAAGAAAUUUCAUGACCUCUGAAAAGGAAGCAAAGACACUGUUAAGGAUUUCCCACUUACUGGAAGAUGGAUUUGGAAAGAAAUCACAAUACUUUCUCCAUCUUCAACAAUGACUCUAGAGAAGCGAGUCCCAACCACUCCUCACUAUCCUUAGUGAAAUAUUUUCUUGAGGGCUCACCGUAUAGUUAGUUUUGUCAAAUGACUUGGGUGGUCUUGGAAAUUGCACAUCCUUGAAUGGAACUAAAUAAUCUGUUAAUGUCAUUUAGGUCUAAUGAGUUAGUAGUAUUACUUCAGUAUUCCAUAAUCUUACUAAUCUCAUUGGUUGCCAAUUAACUGAGGCAGAUGUGGUAAAACCCCUCACCAUCAGUAUGGAUUUGCCUAUCUUCCUUGCAGUUAUUCUAUUUCGUGCUUUAUCUAUUUGGGUUAUGUAUUAUUUUGUACAUACUAAUUAUUCCCGUUGAGUUGAUCCUUCAGCCUUAUGACAUAUCCUCUUUAUCUCUAAUAAUACUUUUUGCCUUAAACUGUAUUUUUUCUAGUAUUACCAGUAUUAUGUAUGUAUGCUAUAUUUUUUUUGGUCCUUAUGAUUCCAAAUAUUCAGUAUCCUUAUAUUGAAUAUCUGUCUCAUAGACAAAAAGUUUUUUUUAUUUUGUUCUGUUUUGUUUGGUCUUGUUUUUCUCGGGUUUGACAGUGUUUGCUGUUCAUUGUGGUAUUUAGCCCAUUUACAUUUAAACUAAAUACGAACAUAUCUGGGGUUAAAUCUACCAUCUAAUUAUUUACCAUCAUCAUAUUAUUUUACUGGAGUUGCCUGUUCUGCCUCUUUUUCUCUUUUAACUUUUGCAGUUUGAGUAACUAGAGAGUAUUUGAUCACAUCCCAUAUGUACCACUUCCAAUCUUCUUGACCUCACUUCUCACUCCAUCCACUGCUGAAGCACACCACUCUGCUUCAGGCAAGGACAACUUGACCGCACCUUGAUUCAGAUGCCUGCUGCAUUCUUCUUCCUGCCUUGGGGCUCAGAGAUCCUACAAAACAGGGAUUACUUAGGACCCACAAGGCUGCAUUUGACUGAUGAUAUGUCCCCCAAUUUUUUCUCAUGGAUGAAGGUCUUGGCUGAUACAUCAAGCAUGCAACAUAGACUAGCUAAAGUGCUUCAAGAGGC
rnacentral:lncRNA from 1 species